GGCUACAUCCGAGAGACAAUCCGUUUCUCGGUAGGCAGCGAUCUCCAAAGCGUUGCCGUCCGUGAUGCGAUGCAAAUUCACCCCCUCGCUGAGACAAGUGUCUUACCUUUAACGCAACGGAGCUCCAUGAGUAACAAAUGUAAUAGCACAAGCUUUCCGACUUCUGUCCACAUCUUUAGAUCCUGGGGUGUCAACGGUUGUGUUCAUGCAAGUGAAAAAACAGUGAAGGAUCCCCAACCUCUCACUCGCUCUGUAUGAUCCGCGUGCUGCCUCUGCUCCUGAGUGCGUGAGCGUGUGUGUUCAGCCUGGAUCUCCUUUCUCUGCCUCUGCCUCGGCUGCAAUUUGAAUGAGUGACGCUUAUGGGCGGGAUGGCAAGGGACAGUGCCUGCGGAUAAUAGAUCAGUGUUGAAAUUGUGUUCAUCUUACAUCCCUGCACACACAGCUGGAACUCAUGCAUUCGUCUUUGCCACAGGACAGUGAAUUUGGAUGGCAAGGCAGUGAAAAGUGUGGGUCAAGCUGCCAGGAUGAGUAUGUCCACUCAGUGAGAGCAGCCAGGCCACAGCUGGAGCUGUCAGAACUAGUGAUUUAAUCAAAUGCUGAGGGGUCCACAGCUGUAUCUAGUCACGGAGGAGAUAAAAGAGACACAACUAAGAGGAUGUAGAAGCGUUCAUUUGGCAGGCAUAUGGGGUCUGGGUCCAACCCAAUAGUGACCAUUUUUGCCAAACUGCCUGUGGUUCAUACAAGACCAGGGUUAGAUGAACCUCUCUGCCAAAAAGCCAUAAUUUUUCUGAUGUGUGAUCUCUGUUUUUAGUAAAAUUAUUUUACUUAUAUUUUGCUUGUGGUAUCUGCCAAGUAUUCUUAUAUUCUGAACUGUAUUUUCUUGUUUUACUUCCUUUGCAUUCAUUGUGUUUGCUAUGCUGAAAGUCAUACUAGAUCUUCAAUAAAGAGGCUGCUCAGAA